UACGGAGGGAGCUAGCGUUAUUCGGAAUUACUGGGCGUAAAGCGUACGUAGGCGGCUUUGCAAGUUAGAGGUGAAAGCCUGGAGCUCAACUCCAGAACUGCCUUUAAAACUGCAUCGCUUGAAUCCAGGAGAGGUGAGUGGAAUUCCGAGUGUAGAGGUGAAAUUCGUAGAUAUUCGGAAGAACACCAGUGGCGAAGGCGGCUCACUGGACUGGUAUUGACGCUGAGACGCGAAAGCGUGGGGAGCGAACAGG
rnacentral:rRNA from 1 species